UACAAUCAACACAUUGCAGGAACAUGCCUCUGGAUAUAAAGUGAUUAUUUCUCUGAAAAAGUAACAUGAAAUGAGAAUGACAGCCUCUAGAUAAUGUAAUUGUACAUGAAGGUGAUUGAUUUGGAAAUGAAUCACAUCUGCGGUCAGUAACAUCCUGUCUCUGUUAAGAUAACUAAACUGAGGCAAGGAGAAGUUAAGUCAUGUAGUCAAUUGCAAGUUCCUUGGAAGGCAAAGAUUAUUUUCUUUUUGCUUGUAUUUGGAUCCCCAGGACUCAGCAAAAU